rnacentral:rRNA from 1 species
AGCGGCGGAUGGGUGAGUAACACGUGGGGAACCUGCCCCUAAGUCUGGGAUACCAUUUGGAAACAGGUGCUAAUACCGGAUAAUAAAGCAGAUCGCAUGAUCAGCUUUUGAAAGGCGGCGUAAGCUGUCGCUAAGGGAUGGCCCCGCGGUGCAUUAGCUAGUUGGUAAGGUAACGGCUUACCAAGGCGACGAUGCAUAGCCGAGUUGAGAGACUGAUCGGCCACAUUGGGACUGAGACACGGCCCAAACUCCUACGGGAGGCAGCAGUAGGGAAUCUUCCACAAUGGACGCAAGUCUGAUGGAGCAACGCCGCGUGAGUGAAGAAGGUUUUCGGAUCGUAAAGCUCUGUUGUUGGUGAAGAAGGAUAGAGGUAGUAACUGGCCUUUAUUUGACGGUAAUCAACCAGAAAGUCACGGCUAACUACGUGCCAGCAGCCGCGGUAAUACGUAGGUGGCAAGCGUUGUCCGGAUUUAUUGGGCGUAAAGCGAGCGCAGGCGGAAAAAUAAGUCUAAUGUGAAAGCCCUCGGCUUAACCGAGGAACUGCAUCGGAAACUGUUUUUCUUGAGUGCAGAAGAGGAGAGUGGAACUCCAUGUGUAGCGGUGGAAUGCGUAGAUAUAUGGAAGAACACCAGUGGCGAACGCGGCUCUCUGGUCUGCAACUGACGCUGAGGCUCGAAAGCAUGGGUAGCGAACAGGAUUAGAUACCCUGGUAGUCCAUGCCGUAAAC